rnacentral:rRNA from 1 species
GAGUAGUAAAUGUUUUGGACAGGAAACUUAAAGAAUUUGGCGGUGUAUAUUCUAAUUAGAGGAAUAUGUUUUUUAAUUGAUACUCCCCAAGUAUUUUACUUAAAUUUAUUUAUUUUGUAUAUCUCCGUCUUAAAAAAACUUUUUAAAAUAUUUUUUAUUUUUUAUAAUUUAAAAUAAGUCAGGUCAAGGUGCAGAUGAUAUUUAAGUUAAAAUGUAUUACAAUAAAAUUAUUUUUGGAUUAAAAUUUAAAUAGUAGUUUGAUGAAAUUGGAUUUAUGAGUAAAUUUUUUUAUAUAAUUAUUUAUUGAAUUGUGUUAAUAUACAUGCACACAUCGCCCG